rnacentral:rRNA from 1 species
CCUACGGGUGGCAGCAGUCGAGAAUCAUUCACAAUGGGGGAAACCCUGAUGGUGCGACGCCGCGUGGGGGAAUGAAGGUCUUCGGAUUGUAAACCCUUGUCAUGUGGGAGCAAAUUAAAAAGAUAGGACCAGAAGCGGCAGAGACGGCUAACUCUGUGCCAGCAGCCGCGGUAAUACAGAGGUCUCACGCGUUGUUCGGAACCACUGGGCGUAAAGCGUGCGUAGGCUGUGUUGUAAGUCGUGUGUGAAAGGCGCGGGCGCAACCCGAGGACGGCUCAUGGUACUGCGAGAUGAGAGUAAAGGAGGGGGAACCGGAAUUCCCGGUGUAGCAGUGAAAUGCGUAGAUAGCGAGAGGAACACUCGUGGCGAAGGCGGGUUCCUGGACAUUAACUGACGCUGAGGCACGAAGGCCAGGGGAGCGAAAGGGAUUAGAUACCCGAGUAGUC